UGUCCGUUGGUGAACCAGCGGAGGGAUCAUUAUCGAGUUUAUAACUCCCAAACCCUAUGUGAACUUACCACUUGUUGCUUCGGCGCGCGCUUCGGUGCCGCCGAGGACACUUAAACUCUUGGUUUUUAUAAGCAUUUCUGAGUGGCCGAAAGGCAAAAUACAAACGAAUCAAAACUUUCAACAACGGAUCUCUUGGUUCUG
rnacentral:misc_RNA from 1 species